rnacentral:rRNA from 1 species
UACGUAGGGGGCAAGCGUUGUCCGGAUUUAUUGGGCGUAAAGAGCGUGUAGGCGGCCAGGUAGGUCUGCUGUGAAAACUCGAGGCUCAACCUCGAGAGGUCGGUGGAAACCGUCUGGCUAGAGUCCGGAAGAGGAGAGUGGAAUUCCCGGUGUAGCGGUGAAAUGCGCAGAUAUCGGGAAGAACACCCGUGGCGAGGCAGCUCGCUGGGACGGUACUGACGCUGAGGCGGCGAAAGCGUGGGGAGCGAACAGG